rnacentral:ncRNA from 2 species
AUGAAAAGAAGCAUGACAGGUGUAUGAAAAUACCGAACAAGGAAUGGAAGCGAACAGCUCCAGCUGCCCCAGCAACCGUGAUAUGGACGAAAUUCAGUGACCAUUGUACCACACAGGUAUGAGAAGGUGGAGAGUAGGAUGAAAUUAAGCCGGGAGACUUGCCUGUUAUGCAAACAGAGU